CAUUAGAUAACUUAAAGCAAGUUUUGGUCUCUUAAACCACUAUAUAGUAAAAUAGCUCUUACUUCUAAUGA
rnacentral:tRNA from 1 species